rnacentral:rRNA from 1 species
GACGAACGCUGGCGGCGUGCUUAACACAUGCCAGUCGAACGGAAAGGCCCUGCUUGCAGGGUACUCGAGUGGCGAACGGGUGAGUAACACGUGGGUGAUCUGCCCUGCACUUCGGGAUACGCCUGGGAAACUGGGUCUAAUACCGGAUAGGAGCCAUUUUUAGAGUGAUGGUUGGAAAGUUUUUUCGGUGUAGGAUGAGCUCGCGGCCUAUCAGCUUGUUGGUGGGGUAAUGGCCUACCAAGGCGGCGACGGGUAGCCGGCCUGAGAGGGUGGACGGCCACAUUGGGACUGAGAUACGGCCCCGACGCCGACGGGAGGCAGCAGUGGGGAAUAUUGCACAAUGGGCGCAAGCCGUAUGCAGCGACGCCGCGUGGGGGAUGACGGCCUUCGGGUUGUAAACUCCUUUCGCUAGGGACGAAGCUUUUUGUGACGGUACCUAGAUAAGAAGCACCGGCUAACUACGUG